ensembl:lncRNA
ACCAAGACUAGUAAACACAAUCCAUACCACUGAUUUCAGAAAGUUGUCUCCAUCUCCCCCUUGUGGACAGGGAGGUGUACUGCAUGCAGUGGUCUCAGCGUUUACUGAGCACAGCAACAUAGAUAUCAAACCAUCUCACAGUAACAUAGAUAUCAAACCAUCUCACAGCAACAUAGAUAUCAAACCAUCUCACAGUAACAUAGAUAUCAAACCAUCUCACAGUAACAUAGAUAUCAAACCAUCUCACAGCAACAGGUGAAGGACUUACUCUUGAUAUCUCCUCUCACAUUUAGGUCUUUGUCGGCUCCAUAACCUGAGGGGGAAAAGUAUGUUUUUUAAAUUUACCUUUGGAAAAUAUGUGUCCACUGACUACACAGAGUGUAGGCUAAAUACCACUGACUACACAGAGUGUAGGCUAAAUACCACUGACUACACAGAGUGUAGGCUAAAUACCACUGACUACACAGAGUGUAGGCUAAAUACAUGGCCACUGACUACACAGAGUGUAGGCUAAAUACCACUGACUACACAGAGUGUAGGCUAAAUACCACUGACUACACAGAGUGUAGGCUAAAUACAUGUCCACUGACUACACAGAGUGUAGGCUAAAUACAUGGCCACUGACUACACAGAGUGUAGGCUAAAUACCACUGACUACACAGAGUGUAGGCUAAAUACAUGGCUACUGACUAUACAGAGUGUAGGCUAAAUACUAUACAGAGUGUAGGCUAAAUACCACUGACUACACAGAGUGUAGGCUAAAUACUACACAGAGUGUAGGCUAAAUACUAUACAGAGUGUAGGCUAAAUACCACUGACUACACAGAGUGUAGGCUAAAUACUACACAGAGUGUAGGCUAAAUACAUGGCUACUGACUACACAGAGUGUAGGCUAAAUAUCACUGACUACACAGAGUGUAGGCUAAAUACCACUGACUAUACAGAGUGUAGGCUAAAUACCACUGACUAUACAGAGUGUAGGCUAAAU